GAAAUUAGGAAGGUCUCCUGCACCAGAAGGAU
rnacentral:sRNA from 1 species